rnacentral:rRNA from 1 species
GACGAACCGUGCGAACGUUAUUCGGAAUCACUGGGCUUAAAGCGCGUGUAGGCGGGCCGGCACGUCGGCCGCUGAAAUCCCCCGGCUCAACCGGGGAAGGGGCCUCGAUACGACCGGCCUGGAGGGGGGUAGGGGGAUCGGGAACUUCCGGUGGAGCGGUGAAAUGCGUUGAGAUCGGAAGGAACGCGCGCGGCGAACGCGCGGUCCUGGACCCCACCUGACGCUGAGACGCGAAAGCCAGGGGAGCGAACGGG